rfam:Camelus ferus unplaced genomic scaffold scaffold445, whole genome shotgun sequence.
GAGUGUAUAGCUCAAGUGGUAGAGGCAUGCUUAGCAUGCAUGAGGUCCUGGGUUCAAUCCCCAGUACCUCCA